AUUGAACGCUGGCGGUAUGCUUAAGACAUGCAAGUCGAACGGUAACAGACCUUCGGGUGCUGACGAGUGGCGGACGGGUGAGUAACACGUGGGAAUCUACCUUGUAGUGGGGGAUAAGCCAGGGAAACUUGGACUAAUACCGCAUACGCCCUAAGGGGGAAAGGAGCAAUUCGCUAUAAGAUGAGCCCGCGUCUGAUUAGCUAGUUGGUGAGGUAAAGGCUCACCAAGGCGACGAUCAGUAGCUGGUCUGAGAGGAUGACCAGCCACAUUGGGACUGAGACACGGCCCAGACUCCUACGGGAGGCAGCAGUCGGGAAUAUUGGACAAUGGGGGCGAACCCUGAUCCAGCAAUACCGCGUGUGUGAAGAAGGCCUGCGGGUUGUAAAGCACUUUUAGUAGGGAAGAUAAUGACGUUACCUACAGAAAAAGACACCGGCUAACUCCGUGCCAGCAGCCGCGGUAAGGUCGUCAUGU
rnacentral:rRNA from 1 species